rnacentral:rRNA from 1 species
UACGAAGGGGACUAGCGUUGUUCGGAUUUACUGGGCGUAAAGCGCGCGUAGGCGGAUCGCUAAGUCAGGGGUGAAAUCCCAAGGCUCAACCUUGGAACUGCCUUUGAUACUGACGAUCUGGAGAUCGGGAGAGGUGAGUGGAAUUCCGAGUGUAGAGGUGAAAUUCGUAGAUAUUCGGAAGAACACCAGUGGCGAAGGCGACUCACUGGCCCGUUACUGACGCUGAGGCGCGAAAGCGUGGGGAGCAAACAGG